rnacentral:rRNA from 1 species
AUUGAACGCUGGCGGCAUGCUUUACACAUGCAAGUCGAACGGUAAGCUGACGAGUGGCGAACGGGUGAGUAAUGCAUCGGAACGUGCCCGAUCGUGGGGGAUAACGCAGCGAAAGCUGCGCUAAUACCGCAUACGAUCUGAGGAUGAAAGCGGGGGACCGUAAGGCCUCGCGCGAUCGGAGCGGCCGGUGUCAGAUUAGGUAGUUGGUGGGGUAAAGGCUCACCAAGCCGACGAUCUGUAGCUGGUCUGAGAGGACGACCAGCCACACUGGGACUGAGACACGGCCCAGACUCCUACGGGAGGCAGCAGUGGGGAAUUUUGGACAAUGGGCGCAAGCCUGAUCCAGCAAUGCCGCGUGCAGGAAGAAGGCCUUCGGGUUGUAAACUGCUUUUGUACGGAGCGAAAAGGCUCUCUCUAAUACAGGGGGCUCAUGACGGUACCGUAAGAAUAAGCACCGGCUAACUACGUGCCAGCAGCCGCCGUAA